UCCUGCGGCCACGCCCCGGGCCCUGCCCGGCCCCCGCAGCCAGGUGAGAGGGACUGAGCGCCCCGGGGCUCCAGCGGGGUCUCCCCACAUUCCCCAGCUCCGGGUGCUGCGAUAGGGGCCGCGGUGUGCACGAGAGCUGGGAUUUCUGUGUCCUUCCCCUGCCCUUCCUCCCCAGCGUUCCUCAUCUUCCUCCUGAUCAUCCUUCCUCCUCUUCCCUUCCUCCUGACCCUUCCUCCUCUUCCCCCUGACCCUUCCUCCUCUUCCUCCUCUUCCCCCUGACCCUUCCUCCUCUUCCUUUCCUCCUGAUCAUCCUUCCUCUUACUCCUGACCCUUCCUCUCUUCCUCCUGACCCUUCCUCCUCUUCCCUUCCUCCUGAUCACCCUUUCUCUGCUCUUCCUCCUGACCAUCUUUUCCCUGAACUCCCUUCCCCUGCCCUUCCUCCUGACGGUCCCCUGCUGUCCCCUGUGUCCCCAGGGCCACCGGCUGCUCUCCGGGCCCGGCCUGCCAGCGCCCAGCUGCCAAAGGACAGCACCAAGCUCCCGAGCGAGGAUUGCUCCGUGUCCCAGCACACCCUGACACUGCCCGGGAGGAAGGGGCCGUGGGAUGGGCUCGGGAAAGGAGCUUUUCCCAAGCUGGAGGAGAAGGUGGGACAGCUGGAGAAGGGAUGCCCUGGGAAGGGCAGGAUGAAAGCCGGCUCCGAGAUGAACCUGCUGGCCCUCGGGAGGUCACUCAAGGGCCACAUCACCGCCAGCUCGGCCGGCUCCGAGGGAUCGUUCCUCAGGCCGCUGCUGAAGCGCAGCACAUCAGCGAGGAGCGCCCUGAGGCCGCCCCAGUCCCCGCUCAUGGCGGGGAAGGGAAAUGUGAUGAGGAAGACAAAGGAGUGGGAGAUGAAAUCCGCGAUGUGAGCACGGAGCGAGAGUCUCCCAGAGAACAUCGGGCCGCACGUGGAUCGUGCAGGACCAGCCUGGAAUCAGCCUGGAAUUUGACUUUUAUCCAUCACUAUCAACGCUACAACUACGCACAUCUAUUUUUAUAUCCAGAUAUAUCGAUACACACAUAUCAGCUCUGCAGCCGUGGGCUGUCCCCACUGCAUCCCCACCUAUCCCAGCAGCUCGUUUUUGGGGUACAGAAUUCCCGGGUAAUUCAGGAACUGCUGGCUCUGUCCCAAAUCCAUCAGCAGUUCCCCAAUCCCCCUCCCAGUACCCCAAAUUUGCAGGGAUGGGUGUGGAUAAACCCUGGAUCCAGCAGGAGUGGGGGGCAGAGAUUUGGGAGGCAUCCGAUUGUCCAUUCCCUGGAGUCAGCGGGACCCGGGCUGGGCCCUGGGCUUUUCCAGCAGCUGAGCUUGGCAGGGCUUGGUUUGAAUUGGAGAAAUGUUAUUUUUUUUAAGGAUUAAAAAAAAAAUUGUCAUAAAACUUGGGUUGUGCUGUGGGAAAGGGAAAGGGGAUGCCCUUGUCCUGGUCCUGGUGAGUGUGGGCUGCAUCCCAGUGAAGGGGUUUGUGGGGUCAAUCCCAUGAAGGAGUUUGUGGGGUCAAUGCCCAUCCCCAUGAAGGAGUUUGUGGGGUCAAUCUCAAUCCCAGGAUGGGUUUUGUGGGGUCAAUCUCAAUCCCAGGAUGGGCUUUGUGGGGUCAAUCUCAAUCCCAGGAUGGGUUUUGUGGGGUCAAUCUCAAUCCCAGGAUGGGUUUUGUGGGGUCAGUCUCAAUCCCAGGAUGGGCUUUGUGGGGUCAGUUCACCCGUGUGAAUUCGUGGGGUCCAUCCGGGCUGGGUUGCUGCCCCACCCUGGUGCUCGGGGGGUUUGUUCCCCUCCAGGUGCCCGGGGUCCAUCCCCAUUCAGAGCUGCCC
rnacentral:lncRNA from 1 species